rnacentral:piRNA from 1 species
UAGAAUGUAACUCGGAGAGUGGCGUCGACU